UACGUAGGGUGCGAGCGUUGUCCGGAAUUAUUGGGCGUAAAGAGCCCGUAGGCGGUGUGUCACGUCGGCCGUGAAAACCUGCAGCUUAACUGUGGGCGUGCGGUCGAUACGGGCAUCACUGGAGUUCGGCAGGGGAGACUGGAAUUCCUGGUGUAGCGGUGAAAUGCGCAGAUAUCAGGAGGAACACCGGUGGCGAAGGCGGGUCUCUGGGCCGAUACUGACGCUGAGGAGCGAAAGCGUGGGGAGCGAACAGG
rnacentral:rRNA from 1 species